rnacentral:rRNA from 1 species
ACCUUACCUGGUCUUGACAUCCACGGAAUUCGGCAGAGAUGCCUUAGUGCCUUCGGGAACCGUGAGACAGGUGCUGCAUGGCUGUCGUCAGCUCGUGUUGUGAAAUGUUGGGUUAAGUCCCGCAACGAGCGCAACCCUUAUCCUUUGUUGCCAGCGGUCCGGCCGGGAACUCAAAGGAGACUGCCAGUGAUAAACUGGAGGAAGGUGGGGAUGACGUCAAGUCAUCAUGGCCCUUACGACCAGGGCUACACACGUGCUACAAUGGCGCAUACAAAGAGAAGCGACCUCGCGAGAGCAAGCGGACCUCAUAAAGUGCGUCGUAGUCCGGAUUGGAGUCUGCAACUCGACUCCAUGAAGUCGGAAUCGCUAGUAAUCGUGGAUCAGAA